rnacentral:lncRNA from 1 species
CUGAGGGCUGCGUGGGUGCGGGUGAUGGCGGCGGGCACCUUCUGGUGCUGGGGCUCUGCCAGGAGCCGUAGCCAGCAUUCGUUCCAGGUACCUGAGGGCGAGGCGAGAAAUACAUAGCUGAAAGGAUUGGGAUGAAGUUUCAUAUGCAGAGCCUCAUGUGGUAGCUUGUUCUGCAGCUCUUCUGCUACACGCAGCAUGAGGAAAGAGGAAGUCCAGGAAGCUACACAGAAGUCUCAUGCAAGUGGUGCCUGUUGUUUUCCUGACCGGAGCCUGCUUUCUGAUGCUAAAGCAGAGUGCAGUUCCUGUGUAGAAACUGAGGACAAAAAAAAAUUUACCCGCUCCUCACUGUUGAGGAAGGAUUGUCCUGCUCCUUGCUGCGCUGCUGGCGCUACAAGGGAGGAAGAGGCAGGAGCUGAUGCUGAACAGAGAUGUUCACCCUGGAACGGGAAACGGCUUGGCUUCUUACCCUCACAAACCUGCCUCGCUGCGUGCGAAGAACCCGCUUCCGUCAGGGCGGAAGAUAAGUUUCUGAAGAACAAACUGUGCUCUGUGUUACUGGACCAAAGAAAAAGGAUUAGAGAAUGAACAACCCUAGG